CACUUCUAAGGUUCAAAUGCGUUUGCAAAUCAGGUUCAAACGUUUUUGUAAAUCAAGGUGUUCUUUAAUUAAAGAUGACAAAUUCAUCGAUCUUCGUCGAGAUCUAUGAAAAAGUGAUAUAAAUAGACAGAAAUUGUUGGUGUCUUUGUUUUGCAAGAAGGAUGACCCUUACUCCUCCUCCUCCGUAGACGCUCUACUUCUACAUGAUUCUGUUAUUUCUCUUGUUGAGGUUGUUUUUUAAUUAAAGAUGACAAGUUCAUCAAUCUUUGUCAAGAUAUAUGCAAAAGUGAUAUAAAUAGACAAAAAUUGUUGGUCUUUUUGUUUUGCAACAAGGAUGAUCCUUACUAAUCCUCCUCCGUAGACGCUCCACUUCAACAUGAUUUCGUUGUUUCUUGUUAAGGGUGCUCUUUAAUUAAAGAUGACAAAUUCAUCAAUUUUCGUCAAGAUCUAUGCAAAAGUGAUAUAAAUAGACAAAAAUUAUUGGUC